UAAGGUGGGCAGGCAUGGGCCAUGACUCCAGCCAGUCAGCCAAGGCAGUCAGUCUGGGACCAGGACACCAGUAGCCAGCCAAGGCAGGCAGGAGACAUGCUGGGAAUAUUUUCCUCCCCAUAGCUGCAGAGAUACAGAUACAGGCUGUCUCCUUGCAGUCUGGAGUCAUGAAGAACACCACCUAUAUUGGAGGCCUUGUAUAUGGUUAUACGAAACUGCAAAGCUUCAAUCCUGACAAGACAAGGAGGAUGGUGCUGUGGUAGGAGGAAGGGGAGGACGUUGAAGAUUUGUGAGUACCCUUCAAUGGUUCAGGCGUUAGAGUUUGUUGAGCUCUGUCCCUAAAAAUGAACUCUGCUGUGUAUUUUUCACCAUGUAGAGAAAACAGUUAACUGUAUCUUAAUUGUAUCCUGUAUUUGUUCGAAUUCAUUAUUUCCUAUCAAUAAUGACAAACCUCACACCUCUGAAUUCAUAUUUUAAGAUUAAAUGCAACAGGCACCUCCAGACUCCACAGACAAAAUCUUGCUAGUCAGUCUAUGAGUAUUUCUGUCAUCUCUUUAGAAAAUAAGAUCAGAAAAUGUUGUGAGUUCACUGAGUACACUAUCAUUAUUUUGUUCUUUCUCUCAGCCUUGAAGCUGAGCACAGCUGGAUAAAAUUCAGAGGAAACUUAAGAUUUCUUUUGAUUCAUGUUGCCUCCAAAUUGUUCCUUGGUACUCUGCUUGAUUUCUUAAUUUAUCUCUGCAUAAUGAGAAGCAGAUAUUCUUGAUCAAGGAACUGCUGAUAGUUACUAAAUUGUUUCCCUGUGGAUUUCUUUUAUUUUUACUGUUCUAUCUGUUCAGUGGGGGGGAGGGGGAAUUAUAAUUAUUAUAUAAGCCUUGUUAUGUUGGAUAUGAAAAGCAUAAUUAUGAAAAUGCUAUAUUUAGUAUAAUCUAGAACCACAAACUCUAAAAUCCAUGGCAUCCAUUUUUUAACCUCCUGCUUUGAUCAUUUGAAAAAUAAUAAUCCCACUCCCCUUCUAAUUUUACUGAUAUCCUAGUUUUAGGUAAGAAAAAAACUUCCUUGAAAUUCCUGCCUUUCAUUGCCAUCUUUUCAGAGCAGACCUUCUAAUGCUAUGGUAGCAUCUAUGGAUUUGAGCCUGGAAUAUAGUUAAACCAUAUAUGUGCCCUUUUGGAUUAAAUUAGUAAUAAUCAGGAAGUUCCAAUAGGAAGAGUGGUCCCACAGGGGAACAAAUAGGGAUGAAAGAUGCUUUUACUCCAGAUGCUAAUAUGAAAAUAACGUUUACCUUGAAAUGCUUACUUUUAAGCACUGUUUUGCUGUAAAGUUAUUGCUGCAGCAGAAUCAAAAUAUAUUCAUGGUUCACUGUUAAUGUUCUGUACUAUUAGAAUUUCCAGUAAAGUCUUUUUCUUUCAAUUCCCAGUUGGUCCUAAAUUUUAUGUUAAGGCUACAUUUUACCUAGUGAAAAUGUGUAAAUUAAAAGAACCAGAACAGUGUCGAUAGAAGGAACAGUCCAGAUAACAUCCCCUGUGAUAAGAACUUGCCGAAGUUGAAUUGAGGAGUUGGAGUGAUUAAAUAUAAUAAAUGAGAUAGGAUGUACAAAACAAAAAAAUCAUCCUAUUAUAUGCUAUUAUACUAUCCUGUUAUUCAUGCUCUUAGCACAAUUCAGAUGGCUGUGAAUAAGAGAAAUGCUGUGCAUAUGUAUCUAAUGCAAUGCAUAAAUAUAUACACAACCCUCCCAUGCCUACUGCUG